rnacentral:rRNA from 1 species
UACGUAGGGUGCGAGCGUUGUCCGGAAUUAUUGGGCGUAAAGAGCUCGUAGGCGGUCUGUCGCGUCGGUCGUGAAAACUUGGGGCUUAACCCUGAGCUUGCGGUCGAUACGGGCAUGACUGGAGUUCGGCAGGGGAGACUGGAAUUCCGGGUGUAGCGGUGAAAUGCGCAGAUAUCAGGAGGAACACCGGUGGCGAAGGCGGGUCGCUGGGCCGAUACUGACGCUGAGGAGCGAAAGCGUGGGGAGCGAACAGG